rnacentral:rRNA from 1 species
GCGCGUCACAAUGUGAACUGCAGGACACAUGAACACCGAUAAGUUGAACGCAUAUUGCGCAUCGUGCGACACAGCUCGAUGUACACAUUUUUGAGUGCCUAUUUUUGACCAUCAGAAGUCAAACUACGUCGGCGGCGCCGUACGUGCAUAGAUGAUGAAGAUUUUGGGACGUAAAACAUCCCAUCUCUUGCAUUGAAUACCGUAGUGUGUAACACCCAGGGCUUCAACUUGCAAAGUGACCAUGGGGCCAACACUUCACCGCCAUCUUGUGCAUGUGUAGUGUGUUCGGCCUAGCUUGGUUAACGUGAGGCGAACCCAACGGAGGAAGCACAAUACAACUGCGCGUAUCUCAUGGUUCUAACCCAACCAUAGCAACAGAGAUACAAAACCAGCUCCUAGCUACGGGAGUACAUAGGCCUCAAAUAAUGUGAGACUACCCCCUAAAAAAUU